rnacentral:rRNA from 1 species
GACGAACGCUGGCGGCGUGCUUAACACAUGCAAGUCGAACGAAGAGCGAUGGAAGCUUGCUUCUAUCAAUCUUAGUGGCGAACGGGUGAGUAACGCGUAAUCAACCUGCCCUUCAGAGGGGGACAACAGUUGGAAACGACUGCUAAUACCGCAUACGAUCUAAUCUCGGCAUCGAGGAUAGAUGAAAGGUGGCCUCUACAUGUAAGCUAUCACUGAAGGAGGGGAUUGCGUCUGAUUAGCUCGUUGGAGGGGUAACGGCCCACCAAGGCGAGGAUCAGUAGCCGGUCGGAGUGGAUGAGCGGCCACAUUGGGACUGAGACACGGCCCAGACUGCUACGGGGGGCAGCAGUGGGGAAGCUUCCGCAAUGGACGAAAGUCUGACGGAGCAACGCCGCGUGAGUGAGGACGGCCUUCGGGUUGUAAAGCUCUGUUAAUCGGGACGAAAGGCCUUCUUGCGAAUAGUGAGAAGGAUUGACGGUACCGGAAUAGAAAGCCACGGCUAACUACGUG